AUGCUUAGCGGGGGGAAGCUCCCACGGUCAUGAAGGAGGUUUCCCAAGGGCCAGGCUGACCCAUUGCCCUUGGGACCUGCUGAGCCUGUGACUUCCCCACGUGGGGGAGACACGGAUGCACAUUUUCUGCUGGUGGGGGUUGAGCGUAUGCUUUUCCCCA
rnacentral:snRNA from 1 species